GGAGGAAAGCAGGGGAUCGCAAGACCUUGCGCUUUUGGAGCGGCCGAUGCCUGAUUAGCUUGUUGGUAAGGUAAAAGCUUACCAAGGCUUCGAUCAGUAGCUGGUCUGAGAGGACGGCCAGCCACACUGGGACUGAGACACGGCCCAGACUCCUACGGGAGGCAGCAGUGGGGAAUUUUGGACAAUGGGGGCAACCCUGAUCCAGCCAUGCCGCGUGAGUGAAGAAGGCCUUCGGGUUGUAAAGCUCUUUCAGCCGGAACGAAACGGUUACGGUUAAUACCUGUGACUAAUGACGGUACCGGAAGAAGAAGCACCGGCUAACUACGUGCCAGCAGCCGCGGUAAUACGUAGGGUGCGAGCGUUAAUCGGAAUUACUGGGCGUAAAGCGUGCGCAGGUGGUUUUGUAAGUCAGAUGUGAAAUCCCCGGGCUCAACCUGGGAACUGCGUUUGAAACUACAAAGCUAG
rnacentral:rRNA from 1 species